rnacentral:rRNA from 1 species
CAGUCGCCACGGUAAUACGGAGGGUGCGAGCGUUAAUCGGAAUAACUGGGCGUAAAGGGCACGCAGGCGGUGACUUAAGUGAGGUGUGAAAGCCCCGGGCUUAACCUGGGAAUUGCAUUUCAUACUGGGUCGCUAGAGUACUUUAGGGAGGGGUAGAAUUCCACGUGUAGCGGUGAAAUGCGUAGAGAUGUGGAGGAAUACCGAAGGCGAAGGCAGCCCCUUGGGAAUGUACUGACGCUCAUGUGCGAAAGCGUGUGGAGCAAACAGGAUUAGAUACCCGGGUAGUCCCUGUCUCUUAUAC